rnacentral:lncRNA from 1 species
GAUUUUAGUUAGAUAAGAUGUACAUUAUAUUUGUGAAAUUGAUUACCAGGAUAUUUUUCAAGUUCUCCAUUGUAAGGAUAUUUACAGUAAAAAGGAUAUUUACUUGCAACCUAGAAGUGCAUGCACAUUUCCAAAGUAUAUAUCAGCGAAACUAAAUUUAGCCAAUAACUAAAUUUAUUUACUGAAAUUAAAUUAUUGUCAAAUAUGCUUUUGGUGUUAAUAGAACACAAUCACUUAAAAAAAUAUGUGAUGUAGGAAAUCUAUUGGCAUCAUAAGUGGUUUCUUUGGGUAAUAUAUCCAAACAUUUAAAUAUUGAUCAAUGUUAUGACCUUUUAAAGGCCAAAGUAGUUACUUUCUGCCUGUACUCUUUUUUAAUCUUCUUUUCAUCUUCCAUAAGACAACUGACAUAUAUCCACAAGAAGUGCCAUAGUGAACCUGAUGGACCUGGGAUUGCAGCAUUAACUAGUGAGGAGCGAACUCGAUGGGCUAAGGCACGAGAAUAUCUGAUUGGUCUUGAUCCAGAGAACUUGGCUUUGUUAGAAAAAAUUCAGAG